rnacentral:rRNA from 1 species
GACGAACGCUGGCGGCGUGCUUAACACAUGCCAGUCGAACGGAAAGGCCCUGCUUUUGUGGGGUGCUCGAGUGGCGAACGGGUGAGUAACACGUGAGUAACCUGCCCUUGACUUUGGGAUAACUUCAGGAAACUGGGGCUAAUACCGGAUAGGAGCUCCUGCUGCAUGGUGGGGGUUGGAAAGUUUCGGCGGUUGGGGAUGGACUCGCGGCUUAUCAGCUUGUUGGUGGGGUAGUGGCUUACCAAGGCUUUGACGGGUAGCCGGCCUGAGAGGGUGACCGGGCUCGUGGGGCCGGAGACGCGGCCCAACCUCUGAGGGGAGGAGGAGGUGGGGAAUACGGAGAGAGGGGCAGAGGGAUGAGGCAGCACGGCGGCGGGCGGGAGGCCGGGUGGCGUGUGAUAAGCGCCUGUCGCCGGGGAGGAAGCGGGAGUGACGGUAAGGGGUAAAGAAGCACCGGCAAACCACGCAACAGCAGCCGUGGUAAUUAUAAGGGCCCCGGGUCUCAA